rnacentral:rRNA from 1 species
AUUGAACGCUGGCGGCAUGCUUUACACAUGCAGGUCGAACGGUAACAGGUUAAGCUGACGAGUAGCGAACGGGUGAGUAAUGCAUCGGAACGUGCCCGAUCGUGGGGGAUAACGCAGCGAAAGCUGCGCUAAUACCGCAUACGAUCUGAGGAUGAAAGCGGGGGACCGUAAGGCCUCGCGCGAUCGGAGCGGCCGAUGUCAGAUUAGGUAGUUGGUGGGGUAAAGGCUCACCAAGCCGACGAUCUGUAGCUGGUCUGAGAGGACGACCAGCCACACUGGGACUGAGACACGGCCCAGACUCCUACGGGAGGCAGCAGUGGGGAAUUUUGGACAAUGGGCGAAAGCCUGAUCCAGCAAUGCCGCGUGCAGGAAGAAGGCCUUCGGGUUGUAAACUGCUUUUGUACGGAGCGAAAAGGCUCUCUCUAAUACAGGGGGCUCAUGACGGUACCGUAAGAAUAAGCACCGGCUAACUACGUGCCAGCCGCCGCAGUAAUAC